rnacentral:rRNA from 1 species
AUGGAUUGGAACCCUCAAGUGCUGUGUUGGAACGUGAGGGGACUUAACAACCCUGCCAAGAGAAAUGUUGUACGGGAGUUCGUUGUCGAGUCCAAGGUGAAUCUUGUUUGUCUUCAAGAGACGAAGAUUGAUGUAUUCGACCCAUUCUUAGUGAUGCAAUGUAUUGGACCAUCGUUCGAUGGUUUUGCCUAUUUGCCCGCGUUGGAUACUAGGGGUGGAAUCCUUUUGGGUUGGAGUAGUGCAUGCCUAACUAUUAGCAACAUCAUCUGUGACACCAAUUUCCUCUCCGGCUUGGUGCAUAGUAGAGAUGGCUCGGAGUGGUGGCUCUCGGUGGUGUACGGUCCUCAAGGGGAUGAGCUAAAGACAUAG